GUGCUCAUUUCAGCAGCACAUGUACUAAAAUUAGAAUGAUACAGUGAAGAUUAAUGUGGCCCCUACUCAAGGAUGACAUGCAAAUUAGUGUAGGAAGAUUUUAUACU